AACGAACGCUGGCGGCGCGUCUUAAGCAUGCAAGUCGGACGGUAAGGAAGGAGCUUGCUUCUUCCCUAGAGUGGCGGACUGGUGAGGAACGCGUGGGUGACGCACCCUCCGGACGGGGAUAGCCGGUAGAAAUACCGGGUAAUACCGGAUAAGAGCGCCUCCUUGGAGGGAGGCGGAGAAAGCGGCUUCGGCCGCGCCGGAGGAACGGCCCGCGUGCUAUUAGCUAGUUGGCGGGGUAACGGCCCACCAAGGCGACGAUGUCUAGGGGUUCUGAGAGGAAGGUCCCCCACACUGGAACUGAGACACGGUCCAGACUCCUACGGGAGGCAGCAGUGAGG
rnacentral:rRNA from 1 species